UUGCUAUGAUGAGACGUAAUACCUUCUGAGAGCAGAUUACUGCUGUAUGAACCUGGGAAAUAUUCUUUCAUUAUUUCCUCCUGAGCGGUUACCUGAGCAA
rfam:Zea mays cultivar B73 chromosome 8, whole genome shotgun sequence.